rnacentral:rRNA from 1 species
CAACUUUCAGCAGUGGAUGUCUAGGCUCCCACAUCGAUGAAAAACGCUGCGAACUGCGAUACGUAAUGCGAAUUGCAGGAUUCAGUGAGUCAUCGAAAUUUUGAACGCAUAUUGCACUUCCGGGUUAGUCCUGGAAGUAUGCCUGUAUCAGUGUCCGUA